rnacentral:misc_RNA from 1 species
UGUUUGCAUAUCAUUUGGUUGUGAAAGCUUAAUCAUGUCGUACAAAUAUAACUCCACCAUGAGUAGACUAAAGUUAUCCUUGCUACUCCGAUCAAUAGCUAAACACAUCAUUCACUCUAAUCAUUAUGAUCCGAUCCAUCAUACAAAUAAAUUUUUGAAACUAAAUGCUAAACACAUCAUUCACUCCAAGACAAGUUUCUUCCCGCCUGAACUACUCUAUCUUGUCUACAUCUUCCGGGGUGUCAACACUGUGGGUCUCAUGGUCCACUUUUAUCACCUUCAUCUUGUAUCCAUUCUCAAGGACCUUCAAUCCAAUAGCUGAAUUCGAAGGUGCAGCAAAUAAGGAAACUGAGGAUUAACCGUGCCAGACUUGAAGUUUGCAACUAAUUGCUAAACACAUCAUUCACUCUAAGACAAGUUUCUUUCCCGCAUAAACUACUCUAUAUUGUCUACAUCUUCCAGGGUGUCAACACUGUGAGUCUCAUGGUCCACUUUUAUCACCUUCAUCUUGUAUCCAUUCUCAAGGACCUUCAAUCCAAUAGCUGAAUUCGAAGGUGCAGCAAAUAAGGAAACUGAGGAUUAACCGUGCCAGACUUGAAGUUUGCAACUAAUUGCUAAACACAUCAUUCACUCUAAGACAAGUUUCUUUCCCGCAUAAACUACUCUAUAUUGUCUACAUCUUCCAGGGUGUCAACACUGUGA